rnacentral:rRNA from 1 species
CUACGUGCCAGCAGCCGCGGUAAUACGGAAGGUCCGGGCGUUAUCCGGAUUUAUUGGGUUUAAAGGGAGUGUAGGCGGUUUGUUAAGCGUGUUGUGAAAUUUAGGUGCUCAACAUUUAACUUGCAGCGCGAACUGUCAGACUUGAGUACACGCAACGUAUGCGGAAUUCAUGGUGUAGCGGUGAAAUGCUUAGAUAUCAUGAAGAACUCCGAUUGCGAAGGCAGCAUACGGGAGUGUAACUGACGCUUAAGCUCGAAGGUGCGGGUAUCGAACAGGAUUAGAUACCCUGGUAGUCCGCACAGUAAACGAUGGAUGCCCGCUGUUAGCGCCUGGCGUUAGCGGCUAAGCGAAAGCAUUAAGCAUCCCACCUGGGGAGUACGCCGGCAACGGUGAAACUCAAAGGAAUUGACGGGGGCCCGCACAAGCGGAGGAACAUGUGGUUUAAUUCGAUGAUACGCGAGGAACCUUACCCGGGCUUGAAUUGCAGAGGAAUUAUUUAGAGAUA